rnacentral:lncRNA from 1 species
UUAUUAAUAAAGAUUGUGUUUGAAAUUGCAAUGUUUUCUUAUUAUAAACUGUAUUGUAUCCUAUCCAUGUAACAGAGAUGUAUUAUUAACAAUACUCAUCGCCUAGUGGAGCUUUGUGUGGCCAAGUUGUCCCAAGAUUGGUUUCCACUUCUAGAACUUCUCGCCAUGGCCUUAAAUCCUCAUUGCAAGUUUCAUAUCUACAAUGGUACACGUCCAUGUGAAUUAAUUUCCUCAAAUGCUCAGUUGCCUGAAGAUGAAUUAUUUGCUUGUUCUUCAGAUCCUCGAACACCAAAAGGUUGGCUAGUGGAUCUCAUCAAUAAAUUUGGCACAUUAAAUGGGUUCCAGAUUUUGCAUGAUCGUUUUUUUAAUGGAUCAGCAUUAAAUGUUCAAAUAAUUGCAGCUCUUAUUAAACCAUUUGGACAAUGCUAUGAGUUUCUCAGUCAACGUACAGUGAAAAAGUACUUCAUUCCAGUUAUAGAAAUAGUUCCACAUUU